AGUGAACGCUGGCGGUAGGCCUAACACAUGCAAGUCGAACGGCAGCACAGUAAGAGCUUGCUCUUACGGGUGGCGAGUGGCGGACGGGUGAGGAAUACAUCGGAAUCUACUUUUUCGUGGGGGAUAACGUAGGAAACUUACGCUAAUACCGCAUACGAACUACGGGUGAAAACAGGGGAUCCUCGGACCUUGCGCGAUUGAAUGAGCCGAUGUCGGAUUAGCUAGUUGGCGGGGUAAAGGCCCACCAAGGCGACGAUCCGUAGCUGGUCUGAGAGGAUGAUCAGCCACACUGGAACUGAGACACGGUCCAGACUCCUACGGGAGGCAGCAGUGGGGAAUAUUGGACAAUGGGCGCAAGCCUGAUCCAGCCAUACCGCGUGGGUGAAGAAGGCCUUCGGGUUGUAAAGCCCUUUUGUUGGGAAAGAAAAGCAGCAGGUUAAUACCCCGCUGUUCUGACGGUACCCAAAGAAUAAGCACCGGCUAACUUCGUG
rnacentral:rRNA from 1 species